UACGGAAGGCAGCAGUGGGGAAUAUUGCACAAUGGGCGCAAGCCUGAUGCAGCCAUGCCGCGUGUAUGAAGAAGGCCUUCGGGUUGUAAAGUACUUUCAGUCGUGAGGAAGGUGUUAAGGUUAAUAACCUUAGCAAUUGACGUUAGCGACAGAAGAAGCACCGGCUAACUCCGUGCCAGCAGCCGCGGUAAUACGGAGGGUGCGAGCGUUAAUCGGAAUUACUGGGCGUAAAAGGGCACGCAGGCGGUUAAUUAAGUUGGAUGUGAAAUCCCCGGGCUUAAACCUGGGAAUGGCAUUCAAGACUGGUUAGCUAGAGUCUUGUAGAGGGGGUAGAAUUCCAUGUGUAGCGGUGAAAUGCGUAGAGAUGUGGAGGAAUACCGGUGGCGAAGGCGGCCCCUGGACAAAGACUGACGCUCAUGUGCGAAAAGCGUGGGGAGCAAACAGGAUUAGAUACC
rnacentral:rRNA from 1 species